rnacentral:tRNA from 1 species
GAGAGAUGGCCGAGCGGUUGAAGGCGCCAGUCUCGAAAACUGGUAUACCCAUCCGGGUAUCGUGGGUUCGAAUCCCACUCUCUCC